CGAGGAGUUUCUCCUCUCUUCCCCGUUCAGUCUGCUCCUUCCCCCGUUUCUUCUUCCACGCCAUUUUUUUCACCCUAGUUUUUUUCACGUUAGUGUGGACUACCACAAUCUCAAUCAGAUUAGGGGCAAAAGAAAGAGAAUGGCUGUGGGGGCAGAGGUGGUGGAGAACUUACUCGAAUGAUCUUCCAUUUUUUUCCUUGAUGAGGUGAUGUCUCUGCUCUGUGAAUAGCUCUGGUGUGAGUCUGAUCAGAAGAAGAACCAGGGAAAUCGGAAAAGAAGCCAAGGAAAUCGAAAACCCGAAACAGAUAUAUUCAGAAGAAGAACCACAGAAGAAAGUUGAAAUGAGGAGGAGAAGAUAGAAGAAGAGUGAGAGCAAGAGCUUGAAGGGCCUUCAGUUUGAAGAGUUAAAAGGGUUUAUGGAUCUUGGUUUUGUUUUCUUAGAGGAAGAUAAAGAUUCAAACUUGGUUUCAAUCAUUGCCAAGUUCAGAGCUGAUGAGAUGGCCAAGGCGAAUGAGUUCAUAUACAAGGAAGCAACGGCAGAGAGAUUGGGAAGCUGCUUGGCUUUCUCUCAUUGAGGUGGAAAAAAAAAUGUGGUGAUUGAUGACAAGUUUAGCACCGA